CGCAAGUUCACUGUCGAUCGUUCUUUGCAAGAAUAGAUUGCAUGACUACUUGUAUGCCUUCGAAGCCUCCACUAAGACCACACUAAGAACCAUUCCUCAUAAAAACUCACCAUAUAGAAAUCAGAUUAGAUAUUCAACACUUGAACAAUCUAAUUUUAGGACAAGCAUCACAUGCUUUCCAAUUUUCUCUUACCUUUCUUUUCAUUUUUCUCUUCCUUUUCUCUUAUCUUUUUUCAGAUUUUUCUAUCUUUUUUCUCUUUAUUUCCA
rnacentral:lncRNA from 1 species